rnacentral:rRNA from 1 species
AGAGUUUGAUUAUGGCUCAGAACGAACGCUGGUGGCGUGUCUUAUACAUGCAAGUCGAGCGAGGCAGCAAUGCCUAGCGGCGAACGGGUGAGUAACGCGUAAGCAAUCUGCCCCAUAUCAGGAAAUACCCGUGCCAACGCGCGGUUAAUGUCCAGGAGCGUGGCCUUCCGCAUGGGAGGUUGACAAGAGAUUUAUCGGUAUGGGAUGAGCUUGCGUCCGAUUAGCUGGUUGGCGGGGCAACGGCCCACCAAGGCGACGAUCGGUAGCCGGCCUGAGAGGGUGAUCGGCCACAUUGGGACUGAGAUACGGCCCAGACUCCUACGGGAGGCAGCAGUAGGGAAUAUUGCACAAUGGGGGAAACCCUGAUGCGGCAACGCCACGUGUGGGAAGAAGCAUUUCGGUGUGUAAACCACUGUCGUGAGGGAAUAAGGCGUCUUCUCGGAGACGUUGAAUGUACCUCGAAAGGAAGCACCGGCAAACUUCGUGCCAGCAGCCGC